CUACGGCUAUAUCAGGUUGAUAAUACCGGUUCUCGUACAAUCUCCGAGGAUAAGCAAGGUUAAGCCUGGUCAGUACCUAGAUGAGUGAUAGCUUGUGAAUAUUAGGUGCU